UCAUUUUUUACAGUGUAAUAUGGGCUCAUAUUACCUGUUUGAUCAUUUGAUCAAGUAAAAUAAGUAAAUACGAGUUUGUCUCACAAACUAAUCUAUCAAUCCGAUUACAGAAUCCUUAAAAUAAAUGGCCCACUAAGAUGGGCAAAAAAAUGUCUUCACUUUCAAAAGGGGAGCACACUUCUGUUUUAACAGCAUUUUUACAUUUAAAAAUUUUAAUUGUGCCUCUCAAAAGGGGUGGGGGACCCCUGGAUCUGCACUGCACUAAGAGAUAAAUAAAUAUACCAGGCUUUGAGAAAAUAUAGUGGGAAUUAUUCAUCCAAGGUCGGUCUGGCAAUAUGUAUUUUUUCCAGGAUUGAAAAAUAGAUAUAUUGCCAGUCCAACAGAGGAUUAUAAAUUCUCACUAUGCUUUCGAAGGAAACGGCUGAUAUAUUCGUUUCAUAUCCAACUUCUAAUCAUUUAGAACCAAAGUCUAUGGUCCGAGCUUGCAGAGUCCGGCUACUUGCAUUGAAUGACCUACUUUUCUCUAACCAAGCCAUGCUCAAUGGAACGCAGAUUAGGGCCUACAAAAACGCAUCAUGGGACUUGCUUGGGAGAGACAACUUGAGCCUGAGAGAUUAGCUCAAUACCCAGUUUUCUUAAAGGGGAAUGAAACAUUUGGAACAGAUAGGCUUCUGUAGAAACAGAAAAAUGAAAGAAUAAGAAUAAAGAAAGUUUGAGAAAAAUCGGACUGUAGGAUCUUAUUCAAAACUAGAUAACCCUUUUGUUAAAGUCCAUGUUUUGUUAAACUCCAUGUACAGAUGUGGACUGCAUACCUUAGUAACUAAACUGUAGGCAUGAUAGGUUGCCAGGUAUUUUAACAGGCUGGGUUGUCAUAAUAAGUAGACUAUGGUUUAACAGGUGUAUAGGAUUACAGACUCUUUGUGUUUCAUAUUUCUGUUUGGUGUGCUGGCAAGAAAAGCCAAGCCAGCUCACUCUCACUUUUGAUUUCGGAGAAGAAGGUCCAAUUUGGGGUGUUUCCUAACCAAGGAAAAGGGCGUGUGCCACCCUACCCAGUGCAGGGAGGUUCCUUUCUACUCGAUGCCGAAUUACGGCUGUCAACCUAGGGUCAGCCCAGAGUCAAUGUGGAGUCAAUGUAGGUCAGGGUAGCACCUACCCUCUAUGUCCAGGUCAUGAGUCACAAUGUCAUUCGAGGGGAAUGACUCACUUCAGUCAGCCGAAGCUACUGUUCGUCGGACUCGACCGUAAUUCUUCCAAGUUAGAGCUUCAACUCAACUCUUGUUCUUCGUUCUUCAAGGACACGUGUCUUCGCUGAUGACGUCAGUCGUGUUCUUCGUCGUCGUCGAUCAUCGGCAUACUUGUUCCUCGUCAUAAUCGUCCAAUCUUCGUAGUCGUCGUGGUUUGUCGAUCUCUUCUGUUUUCGAACUCCGCAUUUACCCGAUUGAAGGUUUGAUCAAGCAAU